AAACCAACAGGGAUUGCCUCAGUAGCGGCGAGUGAAGCGGCAAGAGCUCAGAUUUGAAAUCGUGUUUCGGCACGAGUUGUAGAGUGUAGGUGGGAGUCUCUGCGGAGCACAGUGUCCAAGUCCCUUGGAACAGGGCGCCUGAGAGGGUGAGAGCCCCGUGGGGUGCUGUGCGAAGCUUUGAGGCCCUGCUGACGAGUCGAGUUGUUUGGGAAUGCAGCUCUAAGCGGGUGGUAAAUUCCAUCUAAGGCUAAAUAUUGGCGAGAGACCGAUAGCGAACAAGUACUGUGAAGGAAAGAUGAAAAGCACUUUGAAAAGAGAGUGAAACAGCACGUGAAAUUGUUGAAAGGGAGGGUAUUGGGCCGACAUGGGGAGUGCGCACCGCUGUCUCUUGUAGGCGGCGCUCUGGGCGCUCUCUGGGCCAGCAUCGGUUCCUGCUGCGAGAGAAAGGGUUUCCCGGAAAGUGGCUCUUCGGAGUGUUAUAGCCGGGGUCC
rnacentral:rRNA from 1 species